CAAUAGCGUAUAUUAAAGUUGUUGCAGUUAAAAAGCUCGUAGUUGAAUUUUUGCUUGCCGCCGAUGUCGGAACUUCCGUACGUUCGGCGGCGUGCAUCCUUGGGUGGAACCUGUGUGGCAUUAGGUUGUCGUGCAGGGGAUGCUCAUCGUUUACUGUGAAAAAAUUAGAGUGUUCAAAGCAGGCUUAUGCCGUUGAAUAUAUUAGCAUGGAAUAAUAAGAUAGGACCUUGGUACUAUUUUGUUGGUUUGCGCACCGAGGUAAUGAUUAACAGGGACAGUUGGGGGUAUUUGUAUUCCAUUGUCAGAGGUGAAAUUCUUGGAUUUCUGGAAGACGAACUACUGCGAAAGCAUUUACCAAGGAUGUUUNCAUUAA
rnacentral:rRNA from 1 species